AUCAAGGGCAGUUCGCCCCUCUCUUCCUCAUCCAGAGCACACGCAACACAGCCGCCUCUCCUGCAACUGCCAUCUCCAAGUACUCCGGCCGGUCACCCACAACACGAAGUCGUCGCUUCCCUCUUCUCCAUCGCACAGGUCGCCAUGGAAGCUGCCGACCGAUUCCGGUGAACGAGGAUGCUACAGGCUGAACCCUUGCAUCGGGAUCAUCGUCUCAUCUCCAGGAAUCCGUUCAGACGAUUCGUUGGUCAAGACGUCGGCCACAUCUUCUUAAUUUCGAGGUCCAAGUUGCCUUCAUCCGGAACUUCCUCGUGAGAUCUAGUCGUGCUUGAGAGUGACGAGGUGGAACAACGACAGGAAGGUGAAGAAGAAGAAUUCAUCAACGAAGGCAUGCCCCCUCCCCUUUCUCUUUGAACAUAUUUGACCUAUGUUUUCAAAUGGGCAUUAGAUAGUUAUUUUAUUGUUUUAUAAACAUGCAUGCUAUUUUAUUCCUAUAGCUAGUGUGUCGAUUGACACUACCAUGCUGCCAUAAUCUGCUUGUCGCCUUUCUCCUAAUACCUGGAAUAGUUUUAUUUAGUAUUCUUACACAUAGUAGAAUUGCUUAGUCUUGCUUAAUAAUUUAGUUCACAUUGUUCCGAGUAUGUGCGAUCUCAAGUGAGUUAUUCUUUUAAAACUGAAUUAUUGUGAGCAUGUUGGAUGCUGAGUGUGGUCGGACUUGUGCGACAAGUGCCGAUGGUGUGUUUUAAAACUAUUCUGGUUAACUUACCAAGGGUAUGGUGGCAUCGGAUUGUUGGUGGAGUGGGUUAGAGUCCCUCGAGUUCGUGGUUUGCCGUUGUACCCUAUAAGGGAAAAUGCCUGAUUUUUGCUUACUUCACCAUACAAGUGCAACCACAUGCCUAAAUGGAUAUGGCGUACUGACUAGGUUAGCGUGAAUUGGUGGCGUCUCAGCCAAGUGGUUGUUUGGGUCUUGCGAUUUGAGACUUGGGGGACUUGCAAUCCCUGGCAGCAUGAUGGCUGUAGUUGUUGGCGCAAGAGGGGCUUGGAGCAGGUGCGAUAUCACCUCCGACUGGGAAACCUUAGCGAGCUGAGACAAUACCAUGAAAAGUUAAUUGAAAGGUCACGUAAUCGAUGCCAUUGCUACUCUGUUUUGGAGGACAGCAAUGGGGUAACACGUCGGUUUCUUGUGGGUCCAGUGUACAACCUCUGCGGAGUGUAAAACUAUUCGAAUAGCCGUGUCAGCGGUUAAUGGACGAGUGAAGUUGCAUCUUGGGUUAUCUACCUGUCAUCUCUCUAUUUCUGGUGUUGGUGUGUGAGUGUGUUGGAUCGACAGAGGUCGAUUGUGCAGUUGGGUCAUGUGGAUCCCGCCGCUUAUCCGGUGUCGUUGUUGAGCGUCAUUGGAUUGAUUACCAUAUAAAACUUGUUUUGGUGCAAAACCGCUUUCAUCAAAAUUAUUGUUGUAUUUCAAACAAAAUUGCUUUUAUGCAAAAGAGCCAUAUAGCCUUCCAUUGCAGCCUUACAUGUAGUUAUUCAGGUUUCCCGAGGGGGCACGCUGAGUACGUAAUGUACUCAUCGCAUUGCAUUUUGUUGAUAUACAAAGUUCCAUGAAGAUGAAGAUGCCGAGUACAUCUACUAGGAGGAUCCCGACGUGAGGUCACAUGGACUACCUCGAUUGCCUGUGGCUGAGAUGGAGUCUCUACGCAUUUUAUUCCGCUGAUUUUUUUAUUGUAUUAAUGUCAUGAGACAUUGCACUUUGUAAGUCUUUUGGCAUAUUUAUAGUAAAGUUUAUUUUAUCUUUAGUUUGUUGUGCAAUGGUACUCAUUUUGUAUGUGUUCAUCAGCUUGAUCCUGUACUGAUGAAGUUAAACACAUGGAGGGUCUGGAAGUUGAUUCCGGCUUCUUCACGGUGCGUGGUUGUGACUUGUGAGUGUCUGCGUCUGUACUAUUUUUUCUAAAUAAAUAUAAAAAACUUUUUUCA